GUUCCAGCAGCCGCGGUAAUACAGAGGGGGCAAGCGUUAUUCGGAAUUAUUGGGCGUAAAGGGCGCGUAGGCGGCAUGGCAAGUGGAAGGUGAAAUCCCUCGGCUCAACUGAGGAACUGCCCUCCAAACUGCUUUGCUUGAGUCCGGGAGAGGUGAGUGGAAUUCCCAGUGUAGCGGUGAAAUGCGUAGAUAUUGGGAGGAACACCAGUGGCGAAGGCGGCUCACUGGACCGGAACUGACGCUGAGGCGCGAAAGCGUGGGGAGCAAACGGGAUUAGAAACCCCUGUAGUCC
rnacentral:rRNA from 1 species